AACGCAUAUUGCACUCUCUGGCAUUCCGGAGAGUAUGCCUGUUUGAGGGUCGGUCGAAUAAAAAUCGACGUCUUUUUUUCGUCGGAAUUGGGUCGUUCUUUUUUUUUUAACCGAAGUGACCUAAAAUUGAAUCUUUUUUUUCGAUGAACUCGUCUAAAUUUUUUGUGGGGUUCGUCUUAAAAAUGUGCAUUGAACGCGACCAUUUUUUUUGUGGUUGAACGUGUUCAUGAUUUUUUUUCACAAUUCGACCUCAAAUCAGGUAAGAGUACCCGCUGAACUUAA
rnacentral:misc_RNA from 1 species